rnacentral:misc_RNA from 1 species
CAAUUGGCAGCCGGCGUAUUGAUUUCGGAGCGCAGUACAUCUCGCGCUUUGCAUUCAUAACGACGACGUCCAAAAGUACUUUUUACACUCUUGACCUCGGAUCAGGUAGGGAUACCCGCUGAACUUAAGCAUAUCAAUAAGCGGAGGAAAAGAAACCAACAGGGAUUGCCCUAGUAACGGCGAGUGAAGCGGCAACAGCUCAAAUUUGAAAUCUGGCGUCUUUGGCGUCCGAGUUGUAAUUUGCAGAGGGCGCUUUGGCAUUGGCAGCGGUCCAAGUUCCUUGGAACAGGACGUCACAGAGGGUGAGAAUCCCGUACGUGGUCGCUAGCCUUUACCGUGUAAAGCCCCUUCGACGAGUCGAGUUGUUUGGGAAUGCAGCUCUAAAUGGGAGGUAAAUUUCUUCUAAAGCUAAAUACUGGCCAGAGACCGAUAGCGCACAAGUAGAGUGAUCGAAAGAUGAAAAGCACUUUGGAAAGAGAGUUAAAAAGCACGUGAAAUUGUUGAAAGGGAAGCGCUUGCAGCCAGACUUGCCUGUAGUUGCUCAUCUGGGUUUUUACCCAGUGCACUCUUCUAUAGGCAGGCCAGCAUCAGUUUGGGCGGUUGGAUAAAGGUCUCUGUCAUGUACCUCUCUUCGGGGAGAUCUUAUAGGGGAGACGACAUGCAACCAGCCUGGACUGAGGUCCGCGCAUCUGCUAGGAUGCUGGCGUAAUGGCUGUAAGCGGCCCGUCUUGAAACACGGACCAAGGAGUCUAACAUCUAUGCGAGUGUUUGGGUGUCAAGCCCGAGCGCGUAAUGAAAGUGAACGGAGGUGGGAACCUUUCGGGGUGCACCAUCGACCGAUCCUGAUGUCUUCGGAUGGAUUUGAGUAAGAGCAUAGCUGUUGGGACCCGAAAGAUGGUGAACUAUGCUUGAAUAGGGUGAAGCCAGAGGAAACUCUGGUGGAGGCUCGCAGCGGUUCUGACGUGCAAAUCGAUCGUCAAAUUUGGGCAUAGGGGCGAAA